UGGGGAAUAUUGGACAAUGGGCGAAAGCCUGAUCCAGCCAUGCCGCGUGUGUGAAGAAGGUCUUCGGAUUGUAAAGCACUUUAAGUUGGGAGGAAGGGCAUUAACCUAAUACGUUAGUGUUUUGACGUUACCGACAGAAUAAGCACCGGCUAACUCUGUGCCAGCAGCCGCGGUAAUACAGAGGGUGCAAGCGUUAAUCGGAAUUACUGGGCGUAAAGCGCGCGUAAGUGGUUUGUUAAGUUGGAUGUGAAAUCCCCGGGCUCAACCUGGGAACUGCAUUCAAAACUGACUGACUAGAGUAUGGUAGAGGGUGGUGGAAUUUCCUGUGUAGCGGUGAAAUGCGUAGAUAUAGGAAGGAACACCAGUGGCGAAGGCGACCACCUGGACUAAUACUGACACUGAGGUGCGAAAGCGUGGGGAGCAAACA
rnacentral:rRNA from 1 species